CAUGGCAUCUGUGUCCACCCACUUCCUGACACUGCCUCGGGUCCUAAUGCUUCAUGUGAAGCGGUUUUGUGCAGAUGACUGGGAGCCAAAGAAGGUAGAGGACCCCAUGUUUAUCCCAGAAGAACUUACUCUCCAGGGCCUUUGUGGGGAAACUGUCCAGCCUGGUGACAGUACCAUCGAUUCACAAAGGGUGAGGUCACUGGGAAACAACAGCGUGGUCAACACUCCACCAAACUGCCCUUCUAGUUCAGAGAUACCAGCCAGAACCUGUUUAUAGAUUGUCAAGUGUGAUCUCUCAUCUGGGAGACAGCUUGUAUACAGGCCACUACAUCACUGAUCUGCUGGACAGCCAUGGUAGUGGAUGGCUCUGUAUGGAUGAUGCACGUGUCCGUAGGACAGAUGUGGCCACUGUACUCAGGACCAGAGCUCACACUGCCUACAUCCUCUUCUAUGUGUGCAGUGGAGCAGGUGAAGGAGACCAGGCACCUAAGAUGCAGAAUUAGAAGAGCUUCCAAUAGAAUCUGUCUGCCCAAGACCACCAAGGGGAUCAAAAGCUGCAUUAUUUUGCAUGAAGAGUGGACAACUGAGGGGA